rnacentral:pre_miRNA from 1 species
CAAAUACUCCCUCCCUCCGGAAAUACUUGUCAUCAAAAUGGAUAAAAGGAAAUGUAUCUAGACGUAUUUUAGUUUUAGAUACAUCUCUUUUUAUCCAUUUUGAUGACAAGUAUUUUCGAACGGAGGGAGUAGAAA